AGUGUUGUGUGUAGGUUCUCCGUGGCGGACACGGGUACGAGUGGGCCCCGCUUUCGGCGCUGGUACCAGGAGCUCUGAGAGGAACGUGGGCGAGCUCGGAAGCUGCGCCAUGGAUCUCGGGUUUCCCAAGUUGGCCUCAAACUUUCUCUUAGCUGAGGAGGACCUUGAACUUCUGAUCCCGCUACCCAAACCCACCUCCAGAGUGCUGGGAUUAAGGGUGUGUGACUAUAAGCCCCUUUGUGUGUGUGUGGUGUGUGUUUCUGGGGAAGGAACCUAGGGCUUCGUGGUAGUAGUCAAACAUUCGAUCCGAUUCUGAGUAUAUCUUACAAGAUAAUGUUUAGAUCAACUUUCUGUUAUUUUUAGCAUAAAUUGUGAGGAUUUGAUGUGUUGAAUUUGUAGAUCAAAAUGACAACUGUCAUAAUUUUGAGGCUUCUUCCCAAAACCAUGGAAAUCUCUCCACUUACUAAGGUCUUUGAUUGUUUUUAUAUUAGAAAUGUAUGAUUUUUGUGUACAGAUGUUAAUUACAUUAAUAUGCAAAUAUGUCUCAUUUUAUCCUUGCUAUAUAAGCUGUGUGGUGGUUUUAAUUUUCCAUCCAAAUGCCAAUGUACAUAC
ensembl:lincRNA Gm37494 predicted gene, 37494